rnacentral:rRNA from 1 species
GGGUGACCGGCCACACUGGGACUGAGAUACGGCCCAGACUCCUACGGGAGGCAGCAGUGGGGAAUAUUGCACAAUGGGCGCAAGCCUGAUGCAGCGACGCCGCGUGAGGGAUGACGGCCUUCGGGUUGUAAACCUCUUUCAAUAGGGACGAAAGUGACGGUACCUGCAGAAGAAGGCCCGGCCAACUACGUGCCAGCAGCCGCGGUGAUACGUAGGGGUCUAGCGUUGUCCGGAAUCAUUGGGCGUAAAGAGCUCGUAGGCGGUUCGGUAAGUCGGGUGUGAAAUCUCCACGCUCAACGUGGAGGGGCCACUCGAUACUGCCGUGACUCGAGUCCGGUAGGGGAGUGCGGAAUUCCCGGUGUAGCGGUGAAAUGCGCAGAUAUCGGGAGGAACACCAGUGGCGAAGGCGGCACUCUGGGCCGGAACUGACGCUGAGGAGCGAAAGCGUGGGGAGCGAACAGGAUUAGAUACCCUGGUAGUCCACGCCGUAAACGUUGGGCACUAGGUGUGGGACUCUAUCGACGGGUUCCGUGCCGUAGCUAACGC